CCUACGGUGGGCAGCAGUGGGGGAUAUUGCACAAUGGGGGAAACCCUGCUGCCGCGACGCCGCGUGUGGGAAGACGGUCCUCUGGAUUGUAAACCACUGUCCCCAGGGACGAAGAUGACGGUACCUGGGGAGGAAGCUCCGGCUAACUACGUGCCAUCAGCCGCGUUAAUACGUAGGGAGCGAGCGUUGUCCGGACUUACUGGGUGUAAAGGGAGCGUAGGCGGGACUGCAAGUUGGGUGUCAAAUCUACCGGCUCAACCGGUAGCCGCACUCAAAACUGCAGUUCUUGAGUGAAGUAGAGGCAGGCGGAAUUCCUAGUGUAGCGGUGAAAUGCGUAGAUAUUAGGAGGAACACCAGUGGCGAAGGCGGCCUGCUGGGCUUUUACUGACGCUGAGGCUCGAAAGUGUGGGGAGCAAACAGGAUUAGAUACCCUAGUAGUC
rnacentral:rRNA from 1 species